GGGGACGGGCAAGAUGGCGUCGGAGGGCGAGCUGGGCAGGAAGUGGGACCGGUGUCUGGCGGACUCCGCCGUCAAGCUGGGUGCUGGGUUUGGAUUAGGAAUUGUUUUCUCAGUCAUCUUCUUCAAAAGAAGGACAUGGCCUAUCGCUUUUGGGUCAGGGAUGGGGUUAGGAAUGGCUUAUUCCAAUUGUCAACAUGACUUCCAGUCUCCAUAUCUUCUCCAUGGUAAAUUUGUAAAAGAACAGUGACUAAUGACUAAGACUAUCCCAGUGGGAAGGAAGGAGAAAUCAAUGAUUAUUCCUCAGGAAUACUUGAAGUGCCCCUGGAAUAAGCCAACAUUCUUCAGUAAUGAUCACCAGUAACUCUUUAUACUCCAACAAACUGUUUCUGUACAUGAAGCAAAGUUCUGUUGCUUGUUUUGUAUCGUGUCUGGAACGUGCAAGGAAGAACUCUUCUGGGAAAUAAAUAAAAGAAAAAUGGCCUUCUCUGGUGUGUUGACUUUGUAUAUGAGUGAGAAUGGAAGGAGAGAACCUCGGUGUGAGUACCUAGCAGCUGUGCCCACAUGGGUAAGAGCCACUGAGAGCUCUUCAGAAGAGACAGCCGUCGUAUGUUCCUCUCCACUCUUGAAAGACAACCCCCAUCUAACAUACAGUUCAAAGCAGCAUUCCCACCUCAUAAAUCACCCACCAGACCCCUGCUGCUUGUGCUGGUGUUUGGAGAGGAAUAUAAAUACUCCUAUGUCCUGUUUGUACAGUUGCCCUUUAAAAUUGGAGUUAUGGCCAAAGAGGCAGAAUCCAAAAGGGCAAAUCCUGUGUGAUUGCAGCUAACCAGUGCUGUCUCCUGGAGCUCUGAGCCACGGAGUGACCCAGGUUUGAAGCUUCCCAGGGUAGUGGGUGAAUUAAACAGCUGCACUUUGCCAUCUGGCUUUGAGCUUACCUUCUGGCUUGAUUGCUUUUUCACCCCUCUUCUGGGGGAGAACACAGAGGUUUCAGUGUCUGGGAAUGGGUCACAGAUAUUUAAAGCUCUUUAUUACCUCUGCAAGUCACUGGUCCAAGUACUCCCCUCUACUUUACAUUUACUCUAGUCCUUGUAAUUACUUGUCAGUGUGUUGUCUGCUGCUCUUCUCCUGACUCAAGAGGUUGUCUUCACAGCUGCUUUACUCAGCACUAUUGUCUGGCUAUUGAGGUGAACCCUUUUUCUUUGUCCCAUGCUUGCUGCAUGUUGUCUGCAUAGCACAUGAUGUAAAUGCACGUCUCCUGAGAUAGGAUGGGAAUAGUAUGGAUGGAUAUAGAGCUUUCUGUCACUGAAAACCUGCUCUGCUGGAUGGUGAGUGCUGGCAGAUGGAAAAGUGACCAAAAAAAUGUCUCUCCAGCAAGGAAAACACAAUGGAAAACAAGUUGUGCAAUAUUUGUGUUUGCUUUAACCGUGCCAAAACCGGAAGGGGAUGGACCGAGGGGCAGUGUGCUGAGUUCAGAGAGCUUGAGAAGCUCCUCAUCUUCCUUCCUCAGCAAUGGGGCUGAGAUUUGGUGUGGGUGCCACAGCAGUCCUGCCCCACCACAUCCCCCUGGGGGGCUUGUAUGUGGAUCUUGUGCACUGAAGAAACACGUUGAGCUGUGCCCAGAGUCAACAGGAGCUGAAGAGCUUGCCUAGAGCAAUGGACUUGUGAAAUAAAAUAGCUUUAAUGCCAGAGCAGCAUUAAAGACUGUCAAAGCAUGAUACCAUCCAGGACCAUUGCUUGAGCAUGUCCUUGUUUUUCCACCUCCUCCCUUGCCGGACUGCAUUCAUCAGUCAGGUCAAAACAGCUUAUUGGAAACAGGAUCUCUUUGCUUUCUUCCCAAUUUGGAAUCAUUUUAUCUGGCCCCAAUUUUUAAUUUGAGCUAUGUACUUUGGAGCCAUAGCUCCUCUGUGGUUUGGAAAGUGUUUUUAUUGAGUUCUCUGUGUGUGUGUGUGCUGCGGUGCUAGCAGUCUGGGUUCAGCUGGAGAGAAGAGCAUCAACCUGGGUAAGAAACGGGAGAACCAAAAGCAAUACUGAAUGUAACCACUGCCAACGUGCAGAAAAAGCUUUAGCUGAUGCUGUGUCAUUUGGGCCACGAUGAUGAGUUCUGGGUUUUCUUAGUGUCCCUGGUAAUGCCUUGUCCUGCCCUGCUAUGAGCUGCUUAAGUUCUAAUCCAACAUUUAGUUCUGGGGCUCCCAACACCAGAGGGACGUGGAGCUGCUGGAGCGAGGCCAGAGGAGGCCCCGGAGCUGCUGCGAGGGCUGGAGCAGCUCUGCUCUGGAGCCAGGCUGAGAGAGCUGGGCUGGGGCAGCCUGGAGAAGAGAAGGCUCCUGAAGGGGAGACCUUAGAGCAGCUCCAGGGCCUAAAGGGGCUCCAGGAAACCUGGAGAGGGGCUUUGGACAAGGGCCUGUAGGGACAGGCCAAGGGGAAUGGCUUUAACCUGCCAGAGGGGAGAUUGAGAUGAGCUCUGAGGCAGAAGCUCUUCCCUGUGAGGGUGCUGGGGCGCUGGCACAGGGUGCCCAGAGAAGCUGUGGCUGCCCCAUCCCUGGCAGUGUUCAAGGCCAGGUUGGACACAGGGGCUUGGAGCAACCUGCUCUAGUGGAAGGUGUCCCUGCCCGUGGCAGGGGUUGGAGCUGGAUGAGCUUUAAGGUCCCUUCAACACAAACCAGGCUGGGGUUCUAUGAAAUACGACUUUCUGUCGUUAAUUCUUACUUUGUCUGAUCUUCUGUGGCCUGUGAUCAAGUGGUUCUGGCUCUGGAACUCAGAGGGUUCCACUGUAGAUACCGUUUCACAAUGUGUCUUUUGUUGCUGGAGAAUGAUCAGAACAAGUGUUUUUGCUCAUUAAUAGGAACUCCACUGGGGUGAGUGUGGAAGAGGUGUGCAAUUAAAAGAGUGGAAUUUAAGAUUGCUCUUUAAAUGCAUUUAAAGUGCUCUUCAAAUGGGGUAAGAACGUGUAUUUUUUUGCUUUUCACAGCUGCCUUGCUUGUUGUUUGUGUUACUACAUGUAUAUGCACGUGUAUAACUGACACAUAACGGGCCUGUAUUUGUUUCCGGCUUAAUUAAAGUUGUAUUCUUUA
ensembl:lncRNA